rnacentral:rRNA from 1 species
CGGGUGUUAGCGGCGAACGGGUGAGUAACACGUGGGCAACCUGCCCCGAGCUUUGGGAUAACUCCGGGAAACCGGAGCUAAUACCGGAUACGACUUCACUGCGCAUGUGGUGGGGGUGGAAAGGGUUUCCGGCUCGGGAUGGGCCCGCGGCCUAUCAGCUUGUUGGUGGGGUGAUGGCCUACCAAGGCGACGACGGGUAGCCGGCCUGAGAGGGCGAUCGGCCACACUGGGACUGAGACACGGCCCAG